AUUGAACGCUGGCGGCAGGCUUAACACAUGCAAGUCGAGCGCGCGGCGGGCGGGUGUGUUAUGUCUGGGACACGGCCUGAUGGAGGGGGAUAACCACUGAAAACGGUAGCAAACACCGAAAACCAUCAGAUGUCCCGAGAGGGGAUUAGCUAGUAGGUGGGGUAAUGGCUCACCUAGGCGACGAGCCCUCGCUGGUCUGAGAGGAAGACCAGCCACACUGGAACGGAGACACGGUCCAGACUCCUACGGGAGGCAGCAGUGGGGAAUAUUGCACAAUGGGCGCAAGCCUGAUGCAGCCAUGCCGCGUGUGUGAAGAAGGCCUUCGGGUUGUAAAGCACUUUCAGCGAGGAGGCGGUACUCGCAGAAGAAGCACCGGCUAACUCCGUGCCAGCAGCCGCGGUAAUAC
rnacentral:rRNA from 1 species